rnacentral:ncRNA from 1 species
GAACUCUGGAGAAGCUCCGCCCGCGUUGGGGGCGGGGUGCCGAAGGUGCAAGGCCGCAGGGCCGAAUCUCUCAGGCAAAAGGACAGAAGA